rnacentral:rRNA from 1 species
UGGCUCAUUAUAUAAGUUAUCGUUUAUUUGAUAGUACCUUACUACUUGGAUAACCGUGGUAAUUCUAGAGCUAAUACAUGCUGAAAAUCCCGACUUCGGAAGGGAUGUAUUUAUUAGAUUAAAAACCAAUGCCCUCUGGGCUCCUUGGUGAUUCAUAAUAACUUUUCGAAUCGCACGGCCUUGCGCCGGCGAUGGUUCAUUCAAAUUUCUUCCCUAUCAACUUUCGAUGUUUGGGUAUUGGCCAAACAUGGUUGCAACGGGUAACGGAGGGUUAGGGCUCGACCCCGGAGAAGGAGCCUGAGAAACGGCUACUACAUCCAAGGAAGGCAGCAGGCGCGCAAAUUACCCAAUCCCGAUUCGGGGAGGUAGUGACAAUAAAUACUGAUACAGGGCUCUUUUGGGUCUUGUAAUUGGAAUGAGUACAAUUUAAAUCUCUUAACGAGGAACAAUUGGAGGGCAAGUCUGGUGCCAGCAGCCGCGGUAAUUCCAGCUCCAAUAGCGUAUAUUAAAGUUGUUGUGGUUAAAAAGCUCGUAGUUGAACCUUGGGCCUGGCUGGCCGGUCCGCCUCACCGCGUGUACUGGUCCGGCCGGGCCUUUCCCUCUGUGGAACCUCAUGCCCUUCACUGGGUGUGGCGGGGAAACAGGACUUUUACUUUGAAAAAAUUAGAGUGCUCCAGGCAGGCCUAUGCUCGAAUACAUUAGCAUGGAAUAAUAAAAUAGGACGCGUGGUUCUAUUUUGUUGGUUUCUAGGACCGCCGUAAUGAUUAAUAGGGACAGUCGGGGGCAUCAGUAUUCAAUUGUCAGAGGUGAAAUUCUUAGAUUUAUUGAAGACUAACUACUGCGAAAGCAUUUGCCAAGGAUGUUUUCAUUAAUCAGGAACGAAAGUUAGGGGAUCGAAGACGAUCAGAUACCGUCGUAGUCUUAACCAUAANCUAUGCCGACUAGGGAUCGGACGAUGUUAUUUUUUNGACGCGUUCGGCAUCUUACGAGAAAUCAAAGUGCUUGG